CUUGGUCACUUUCAAAUCGUAGUCCACAUGAUCCACACUGAUAUCUCCUUCUUCAUUUUCCAUCUCUGAUCUCUCUUCAAUCUUAUAUUCAGUUGUUCACUGUUGAAUCUGUUCUCUUCGCCGUAGUCGCCAUGGAUUUGGAUAACAAGCUCCUGAAUAUGGGUCUCCUCAUCAUGGCCACUCUAGUUGUGGCCAAGGUUAUCUCCGCCUUUAUUAUGCCUAAAUCUAGAAAACGUCUGCCUCCAGUUAUGAGCGGUUGGCCAGUGGUUGGGGGGCUAUUCCGGUUCUUGAAAGGCCCGAUUAUAAUGCUUCGUGAUGAGUACCCAAAGCUUGGCAGUGUGUUCACUGUGAACCUAGCUCACUGGAAGAUUACAUUUUUGAUCGGUCCUGAGGUGUCAGCUCACUUCUUCAAGGCUCCAGAGGCAGACCUCAGCCAGCAGGAGGUCUAUCAGUUCAAUGUGCCUACGUUUGGUCCAGGUGUUGUCUUUGAUGUUGAUUACACAGUGCGACAAGAGCAGUUUCGCUUCUUUACAGAGUCUCUGAGGGUCAACAAACUCAAAGGAUAUGUGGAUCAGAUGGUCAUGGAAGCAGAGGAUUACUUCUCAAAGUGGGGAGACAGUGGUGAAGUUGACAUAAAGUAUGAGCUUGAACAUCUGAUUAUCUUGACUGCUAGUAGAUGUCUACUAGGUCGAGAAGUUCGUGAUAAGCUUUUUGAUGAUGUGUCAGCGUUGUUCCAUGACCUGGACAAUGGAAUGCUCCCUAUCAGUGUUUUAUUCCCAUAUCUGCCCAUUCCAGCUCACCACCGCCGUGACAGGGCUCGUAAGAGGCUUGCAGAAAUCUUUGCAAACAUCAUAGCUUCUCGUAAACUUGCUGGCAAAUCAGAGAACGACAUGUUGCAAUGCUUCAUAGACUCCAAAUACAAAGAUGGUCGCCCAACUAGUCAAUCUGAGAUUACAGGCUUGCUUAUUGCUGCUCUUUUUGCUGGGCAGCACACCAGUUCCAUUACCUCCACUUGGACUGGGGCAUACCUCCUCCGUUACAAGGAGUACUUAUCUGCUGUAUU
rnacentral:misc_RNA from 1 species